UGCCACUUGUCUUCAAUAAAUCUCCUGGGA
rnacentral:piRNA from 1 species